ACGGGUGAGGAAUACGUAGGAAUCUACCCUCAAGCGGGGGAUAACCAAGGGAAACUUUGGCUAAUACCGCGUAAUCUCGAGAGAGAAAAGCUGCCCGCAAGGGUGGCACUUGAGGAGGAGCCUGCGUCCGAUUAGCUAGUUGGUGGGGUAAAGGCUCACCAAGGCGAUGAUCGGUAACUGGUCUGAGAGGACGACCAGUCACACUGGGACUGAGACACGGCCCAGACUCCUACGGGAGGCAGCAGUGGGGAAUAUUGGACAAUGGGGGGAACCCUGAUCCAGCGAUGCCGCGUGAGUGAAGAAGGCCUUCGGGUCGUAAAGCUCUUUAGGUUGGGACGAAGGAUAUGUGGUUAAUACCCAUGUAUUUUGACGGUACCGACAGAAUAAGCACCGGCAAACUCUGUGCCAGCAGCCGCGGUAAUACAGAGGGUGCGAGCGUUAAUCGGAAUUACUGGGUGUAAAGGGCGCGUAGGCGGUAAGAUGUGUGUGUUGUGAAAGCCCCGGGCUUAACCUGGGAAGUGCAAUGCAAACUAUCUAACUAGAGUAUAUGAGAGGGUGGCGGAAUUUCCGGUGUAGCG
rnacentral:rRNA from 1 species